rnacentral:lncRNA from 1 species
UUGUCUUUGUCUGAGAGACUCAGAAGGAGCUGUUUACUGGCAAUUUGCUGAAGAGAAAUUUUCCUUGUGGAGGUCUGACAACCAGUGUGGCAUCCCUUGGGGCCAAAAAAAUAUGCAGAAGCUCUGUCUUUCUGGAGAUGUAACUGGAGUUUAUUCUAAUGAGAUGAAAUGUGGCCUACCCCUGCCCCCUCAAAUGACCUUCUCAUGGAAAUCAGAAGCCCUGGAAGCCUGGAACAUGUCUUCUUUCUCUUGUAUCCCCUGAGAGCUUGGCUGGCAGUAGCAGCUCCCUCAGCAGCUACUGC